AGUGAACGCUGGCGGUAGGCCUAACACAUGCAAGUCGAACGGCAGCACAGUAAGAGCUUGCUCUUACGGGUGGCGAGUGGCGGACGGGUGAGGAAUACAUCGGAAUCUACUUUUUCGUGGGGGAUAACGUAGGGAAACUUACGCUAAUACCGCAUACGACCUACGGGUGAAAGCAGGGGAUCUUCGGACCUUGCGCGAUUGAAUGAGCCGAUGUCGGAUUAGCUAGUUGGCGGGGUAAAGGCCCACCAAGGCGACGAUCCGUAGCUGGUCUGAGAGGAUGAUCAGCCACACUGGAACUGAGACACGGUCCAGACUCCUACGGGAGGCAGCAGUGGGGAAUAUUGGACAAUGGGCGCAAGCCUGAUCCAGCCAUACCGCGUGGGUGAAGAAGGCCUUCGGGUUGUAAAGCCCUUUUGUUGGGAAAGAAAAGCAGCAGGUUAAUACCCCGCUGUUCUGACGGUGCCCAAAGAAUAAGCACCGGCUAACUUCGU
rnacentral:rRNA from 1 species